rnacentral:tRNA from 2 species
GGGAGAUUAGCUCAGUGGGAGAGCAUUAGACUGAAGAUCUAAGGGUCCCGGUUCAAUCCCCGGAUCUCCCA